rnacentral:lncRNA from 1 species
UAGCAGGUUGAAUUUUUUCCAAACUUCAGCUUGCAGCCUACAGCAUCUUGGAUCCUCAGCUACUUCAGCAGAAACUCAAGUUCUCCAAUUUGAAUAUUCAGCAGGAGAAGAAGGCUGACUGAAUACUUAGAUUUAACAACAAUGGUUAAACAUAUUCCUGUCUUAUGAUUCUGCUCCAUCUUUCUAAGGUGAAA